GACGAACGCUGGCGGCGUGCCUAACACAUGCAAGUCGAACGGAACUGUUUUGAAAGAUUUCUUCGGAAUGAAUUUGAUUUAGUUUAGUGGCGGACGGGUGAGUAACGCGUGAGUAACCUGCCUUCAAGAGGGGGAUAACAUUCUGAAAAGAAUGCUAAUACCGCAUGACAUAUCGGAAUCACAUGAUUUUGAUAUCAAAGAUUUUAUCGCUUGAAAAUGGACUCGCGUCCGAUUAGUUAGUUGGUGAGGUAACGGCUCACCAAGACCGCGAUCGGUAGCCGGACUGAGAGGUUGAACGGCCACAUUGGGACUGAGACACGGCCCAGACUCCUACGGGAGGCAGCAGUGGGGGAUAUUGCGCAAUGGGGGCAACCCUGACGCAGCAACGCCGCGUGAAGGAUGAAGGUUUUCGGAUUGUAAACUUCUUUUAU
rnacentral:rRNA from 1 species